CGAAAUGACCCUACCUAUUUGUAAAACUCUUCUGAUCUCAUCUAAUCUCAGAAGCUACGCAAGGCCAGACCUGAUUAGUACUUGUAUGGGAGACUGCUGGGAAUACAAAGUACUAGUUGCAA
rnacentral:rRNA from 1 species